rnacentral:lncRNA from 1 species
UGCUCCCCUUCCUCAAAUCAGGAGGUCUUGGAAGCAGCUGCCCCUACCCACAGGCCAGAAGUUCUGGUUCUCCACCAGAGAAUCAGCAUUCUGUCUCCCUCCCCACUCCCUCCUCCUCUCCCCAGGGACAGUGAGGUCCCAGGCCCCACACCCAUGGAACUGGAGGCCGAGCAGCUGCUUGAGCCACACGUGCAAGCGCCCAGCCUGGAGCCCUCGGUGUCCCCACAGGAUGAAACAGCUGAAGUGGCAGUUCCAGCGGCUGUCCCUGCGGCAGAGGCUGAGGCCGAGGUGACGCUGCGGGAGCUCCAGGAAGCCCUGGAGGAGGAGGUGCUCACCCGGCAGAGCCUGAGCCGGGAGAUGGAGGCCAUCCGCAC